rnacentral:rRNA from 1 species
AAUUUCGUGUCAUCAGCUCAUAGCGUAUAUUAAGUUGUUGCAGUUAAAAAGCUCGUAUUGGACCUUGGACCUGGACAGGCGGUCCGCCUCACGGCGAGUACUGUCUUGCUGGGUCUUUCCUCUUGGUGAUCUGUUGUUUCGGCAGCAGGGAACCAGGACCUUUACUUUGAAAAAAUUAAAGUGUUUAAAGCAGGCACCAGACUUG